rnacentral:rRNA from 1 species
CCUACGGGCGGCAGCAGUGGGGAAUAUUGGACAAUGGGCGAAAGCCUGAUCCAGCCAUGCCGCGUGUGUGAAGAAGGCCUUUGGGUUGUAAAGCACUUUCAGUGGGGAAGAAAGCCUUGGGGCUAAUACCCUCGAGGAAGGACAUCACCCACAGAAGGAGCACCGGCUAACUCCGUGCCAGCAGCCGCGGUAAUACGGAGGGUGCGAGCGUUAAUCGGAAUUACUGGGCGUAAAGCGCGCGUAGGCGGUCUGAUAAGCCGGUUGUGAAAGCCCCGGGCUCAACCUGGGAACGGCAUCCGGAACUGUCAGGCUAGAGUGCAGGAGAGGAAGGUAGAAUUCCCGGUGUAGCGGUGAAAUGCGUAGAGAUCGGGAGGAAUACCAGUGGCGAAGGCGGCCUUCUGGACUGACACUGACGCUGAGGUGCGAAAGCGUGGGUAGCAAACAGGAUUAGAUACCCGAGUAGUC